rnacentral:lncRNA from 1 species
GGAAAAUCCAAGUCGCAGAGGAGAGCUAAGAAGGCGAAGUCCUUGAGCUGCUCUUGGCUCCAAAAGGGGGUCAAUAAUCAUCCACGUGUGCACAGCAUUGCAGGAGGAGGCUGUGCAUUACUAAUUAUCUCUACCUCUUCUAAGCUGGAUAAAAGGUAAUUGAAACAACUUGCUGGAAGUGUAAUAGAGAAUACUAAGAAUGAGAUGGAUUGAUUUUUUUCUGGUAGCUUUGCAGCCAGCGUUCUGAGUGGUGAUGGAAUGGAAAUAGGAAUCUGCUGAUGCCUUUUGGGCUGGCUGAGGGAAAUCAGGUAAAGCAUCGUGAAUUUUAU